rnacentral:tRNA from 4 species
GCGCCUGUAGCUCAGCUGGAUAGAGUGCCGGACUACGAAUCCGUAGGUCAGAGGUUCGAAUCCUCUCAGGCGCACCA